CAAGUCGAACGGGAAUCUUCGGAUUCUAGUGGCGGACGGGUGAGUAACGCGUAAGAAUCUAACUUCAGGACGGGGACAACAGUUGGAAACGACUGCUAAUACCCGAUAUGCCGCGAGGUGAAACCUAAUUGGCCUGAAGAAGAGCUUGCGUCUGAUUAGCUAGUUGGUGGGGUAAGAGCCUACCAAGGCGACGAUCAGUAGCUGGUCUGAGAGGAUGAGCAGCCACACUGGGACUGAGACACGGCCCAGACUCCUACGGGAGGCAGCAGUGGGGAAUUUUCCGCAAUGGGCGAAAGCCUGACGGAGCAACGCCGCGUGAGGGAGGAAGGUCUUUGGAUUGUAAACCUCUUUUCUCAAGGAAGAAGUUCUGACGGUACUUGAGGAAUCAGCCUCGGCUAACUCCGUGCCAGCAGCCGCGGUAAUACGGGGGAGGCAAGCGUUAUCCGGAAUUAUUGGGCGUAAAGCGUCCGCAGGUGGUCAGCCAAGUCUGCUGUCAAAUCAGGUUGCUUAACGACCUAAAGGCGGUGGAAACUGGCAGACUAGAGAGCAGUAGGGGUAGCAGGAAUUCCCAGUGUAGCGGUGAAAUGCGUAGAGAUUGGGAAGAACAUCGGUGGCGAAAGCGUGCUACUGGGCUGUAUCUGACACUCAGGGACGAAAGCUAGGGGAGCGAAAGGGAUUAGAUACCCCUGUAGUCCUAGCCGUAAACGAUGGAUACUAGGCGUGGCUUGUAUCGACACGAGCCGUGCCGAAGCUAACGCGUUAAGUAUCCCGCCUGGGGAGUACGCACGCAAGUGUGAAACUCAAAGGAAUUGACGG
rnacentral:rRNA from 1 species